CCAUGCAUGUCUAAGUAUAAGUUAUAAAAGGCGAAACUGCGAAUGGCUCAUUAAAACAGUUAUAGUUUAUUUGAUGAUGUUUUUAUAUGGAUAACCGUUGGGAAACCAGAGCUAAUACAUGCUUAAAGACCUUCGGGUCGUAUUUAUUAGUUUUCACCAAUGCCUUCGGGUUUUGAGAGGAGUCAUAAUAACUGAUCGGAUCGCACUUGUGUGCGAUAAAUCUUUCAAGUUUCUGCCCUAUCAGCUUGAUGGUAGUGUAUUGGACUACCAUGGCUUUCACGGGUAACGGAGAAUUAGGGUUCGAUUCCGGAGAGGGAGCCUGAGAAACGGCUACCACAUCUAUGGUAGGCAGCAGGCGCGUAAAUUACCCAAUCUUGGGUCAGGGAGGUAGUUAGGAGGAAUAUGAAGUCGGCCAUUCGGCUGAGUUUCAAAUGGAUUGAAU
rnacentral:rRNA from 1 species